CUGGAAGGCAGCAGCAAUUGCAGAAGUUGAACGUGUGCGCGA
rnacentral:SRP_RNA from 13 species